CCUACGGGUGGCAGCAGUGGGGAAUAUUGCACAAUGGGGGAAACCCUGAUGCAGCGACGUCGCGUGAGUGAGGACGUAUUUCGGUAUGUAAAGCUCUAUUAGCAGGGAAGAAACUGACGGUACCUGACUACGCAGCCCCGGCUAACUACGUGCCAGCAGCCGCGGUAAUACGUAGGGGGCAAGCGUUAUCCGGAUUUACUGGGUGUAAAGGGAGCGUAGACGGCUAGUCAAGUCAGACGUGAAAGCCCAGGGCUCAACCUUGGGACUGCUUUUGAAACUGGGUAGCUAGAGUGCAGGAGAGGUAAGCGGAAUGCCUAGUGUAGCGGUGAAAUGCGUAGAUAUUGGGAGGAACACCAGUGGCGAAGGCGGCUUACUGGACUGUAACUGACGUUGAGGCUCGAAAGCGUGGGGAGCAAACAGGAUUAGAUACCCGUGUAGUC
rnacentral:rRNA from 1 species